UCGACCUCAGAGCAGGUGAGNCUA
rnacentral:rRNA from 1 species